CAGCCGCCACGGGAAUACGUAGGUGGCGAGCGUUGUCCGGAAUCAUUGGGCGUAAAGGGAGCGCAGGCGGGCAUGUAAGUCUUUCUUAAAAGUGCGGGGCUCAACCCCGUGAUGGGAAAGAAACUACAUGUCUUGAGUACAGGAGAGGAAAGCGGAAUUCCCAGUGUGGCGGUGAAAUGCGUAGAUAUUGGGAGGAACACCAGUGGCGAAGGCGGCUUUCUGGACUGCAACUGACGCUGAGGCUCGAAAGCCAGGGGAGCGAACGGGAUUAGAUACCCCUGUAGUCCCUGUCUCUUAUACA
rnacentral:rRNA from 1 species